ensembl:snRNA U6 U6 spliceosomal RNA
UCGCUUUGACAGCACAUACACUAAAACUAAAAAGGUAUAUGAUUAGCAUGGCCCCUGCACAAGGAUGACACGUAAAUUUCUGACAGUCCAUUAAAAAAA